CCUACGGGUGGCAGCAGUCGAGAAUUUUUCUCAAUGGGCGAAAGCCUGAAGGAGCGACGCCGCGUGGAGGAUGAAUGGCUUCGGCCCGUAAACUCCUGUCAUUUGCGAACUUGUAGCGGAAGAGGAAGGGACGGCUAACUCUGUGCCAGCAGCCGCGGUAAUACAGAGGUCCCAAGCGUUGUUCGGAUUCACUGGGCGUAAAGGGUGCGUAGGCGGUUGGGUAAGUUUGACGUGAAAUCUCCGGGCCUAACCCGGAAACUGCGUUGAAUACUAUCCAGCUAGAGGAUUGGAAGGGAGACUGGAAUACUUGGUGUAGCAGUGAAAUGCGUAGAUAUCAAGUGGAACACCAGUGGCGAAGGCGAGUCUCUGGACAAUCCUGACGCUGAGGCACGAAAGCCAGGGGAGCAAACGGGAUUAGAUACCCUUGUAGUC
rnacentral:rRNA from 1 species